UAGAGAGCCGCCGAGCCAGCGCCGGGCCCGGGCCGCAGCCAUCCCGGGCCGGACUCCGAGCACUUUACAUACAUGAGAGAAUUGGAAGCUAAAGCUACCAAAGAAGUUGAAAGAAAACUAAGCAGGGAUUUAGUGCAAGAAGAGGAAGAA